AGCCCAAUGCCUUGUCUUUUUAGCGUUCAGAAAUGGUUUGAUGCCGAAGAAACUGCACUUGGAGCUCGCACUUGGAAAUGCUUUACCAAAAGAUGAUGGUUUUCGCAAAGAGCUGUUUGACCAUAAAGGGAGAACACAGUCUUCUGGUGAAUCAGGUAGCAUUCCUGAAGUCUCCCCACCUUUGUCAA